GUCUAAUACCGGAUAUCACUCUCGCAGGCAUCUGUGAGGGUCGAAAGCUCCGGCGGUGAAGGAUGAGCCCGCGGCCUAUCAGCUUGUUGGUGAGGUAAUGGCUCACCAAGGCGACGACGGGUAGCCGGCCUGAGAGGGCGACCGGCCACACUGGGACUGAGACACGGCCCAGACUCCUACGGGAGGCAGCAGUGGGGAAUAUUGCACAAUGGGCGAAAGCCUGAUGCAGCGACGCCGCGUGAGGGAUGACGGCCUUCGGGUUGUAAACCUCUUUCAGCAGGGAAGAAGCGAAAGUGACGGUACCUGCAGAAGAAGCGCCGGCUAACUACGUGCCAGCAGCCGCGGUAAUACGUAGGGCGCAAGCGUUGUCCGGAAUUAUUGGGCGUAAAGAGCUCGUAGGCGGCUUGUCACGUCGGGUGUGAAAGCCCGGGGCUUAACCCCGGGUCUGCAUUCGAUACGGGCUAGCUAGAGUGUGGUAGGGGAGAUCGGAAUUCCUGGUGUAGCGG
rnacentral:rRNA from 1 species